CCGUGACUGGCGCAAUGGUAGCGCGCUCGGUAAAAGACCGAGAGGUUGUAGGUUCGAUCCCUACGUCACAAG
rnacentral:tRNA from 1 species